CAUAUGGUAUAUAAAACAGUGUUUGCUCUUGACUAAUGUAAACAAAACAAAUAUUGUAUGCUCUCGAGCUUGGCGUGACCAGCCGAUUGAUCAGGUCGGGCCAUUCCUGACCUCUCGUCUACGUGAACUCCGGGCCAAAGUGGUGUAUUGUCAAUGGCAAUAUACUCGGUUGCAGAUAUUAACCAUAACUCAACCACCAGGAUCCCAUCAUCCACUUCACGGGUCGCACCUCACGGCAAACAAGGCGCCUCGUACGAGGAGUUGUGCAUUUAUUGGCCAUUCUAUAUAAAAGAAUGUUCACCCCUGCACCACGGUGAGGUUAAUGCACAAGCAGGGGCUGGAAGCAUGCAUUGUUUCUUUUAUUACUCUGUAUUCCAGUAUUGUCCCCCAUCCCUUACUUGCUAUGAUAAUAAAUGUAAUGAUUUUGUAUUAAAGUGACAUCACUACACAGGUAUAUGUCUUUCAAUACUUUUAUACAGGUACAUACAAAUGGAUUGCAAGAAAUUAUGUAUUAACUUUGGCUUUCACUGUAAUCUCAAACACGUACUACUGAUGAGAUUAGGAAGAAAUUCCAGAAUUUGAAACAAAGAGCAAAGGAAAAAAUUACUUAUUAAGAAGACCGAAGACUGGUGGUGGGUCCCCAUUGCCAUCAAUGACGAAAAUUAAUUGCUUAUUUUUGUAUCUUUUCGGGGAGGAGGAGGGAAUAUCUGGUGUCAGUGGAGGGAUUGACAGCACUGAAGGUGUCAUCUAGCAAGAAGACUCGUGUCUGUCUCUUGAAUUGGAACAUGAUUUUGAUGCGACUGGAAAUGAAGUGUAGCCUAUACAUGUAGAGGAUGAUGGUAUCCAUUUUGUAUUAUUCCUAACAAUUAAAUAACUUUUUAAAGUAAAUAAAUGCCAAGAUAUCAUAACUAAAUACAUUUCUGUAUUUCCAAAUGUAUGUGUGGCACCUCAU